UACGAAGGGUGCAAGCGUUAUUCGGAAUUAUUGGGCGUAAAGGGCGCGUAGGCGGCCAUUCAAGUGACGGGUGAAAGCCCUCGGCUUAACCGAGGAACUGCCUGUCAGACUGGGUGGCUUGAGACCGGGAGAGGUGAGUGGAAUUCCCAGUGUAGCGGUGAAAUGCAUUGAGAUCGGAAAGAACACCAACGGCGAAAGCACUCUGCUGGGCCGACACUGACACUGAGAGACGAAAGCUAGGGGAGCAAAUGGG
rnacentral:rRNA from 1 species